AUAAAACGUACUAGAUUUAAAGAAAAUAUUUUAUCUAAAAGCAAUAUUUGAAUGUCUAAGUGAUUGUGAAGCAGGAAUAUUUGAAAUAAUUAUAAUAUUCCAGGUCAUCCUUUUUCAAUUUACUGGAUUACGAGUAUUACGUAAUGUGAGGUCAGAGUAGUAGCGGCUUGAACAACAUGGUAUCAAACGAGAAUUAGUUGUAGGAGCGGAAGGAACUUUUAAGAUGGCGGAAUUUCUAGGUGAAAUAAAAAGUUGAAGAGAGCAGAGCAACCAGUUCGACCUACUGACUGGAGGAUACUGGACUAAAAUGUAUAACACUUUAUCUGAUCUACAGCUGGGAUCUUCAAAAAGAAGCGACUCAACACAGAUAGUUUGACAAGUACACAAAUGUUUAUUCACAAAAACAUAAUUACAAUACCAUUUAAUUCCAAAAGCAAAACAAGGAAAAGUGUCUAGCUGUGCACAUUGAACUGAUAAGAGCAAGGUAAAUAUUUUUAAAGUCAUGUUGACAA